rnacentral:rRNA from 1 species
AUGUCGGACCAGAGGACACCGGCCGGCCGGCGGACGGAGGAGCCAAUGGAGGGCGCGUGCGAGAUCGCGCGCCUGCCGGAGGAGCUCCUCUCGGCGGCGCUGGCCCGCACGACCCCGCGCGACGCCUGCCGCGCAGCCGCCGUCUCCCCGGCCUUCCGCGCCGCGGCCGACUCCGACGCCGUCUGGGCCCGCUUCCUGCCCCCCGGCGGCCUCCCGCCGCUCGCCGACGGGGAGCUGGCCGGCCCCGCCCCGCCCUCGUCCAAGAAGGAGCUCUUCCUCCGCCUCUCAGCCGGCCCCGCCCUCCUUCAGGACAGGCUCGUGAGCGUGUGGGUGGACAGGGAGACCGGCGCCAAGUGCUACAUGCUGUCCGCCAGGAACCUCUUCAUCGUGUGGGGGAACACGCCCGAGUACUGGACAUGGAUCCCACUUGAAGACUCCAGGUUCUCCGAAGGUGCUGAACUCGUGGAUGUUUGCUGGUUUGAGAUCCACGGGAAGAUACAUAGCAAUAUGCUCUCCCAAGACACAACCUAUGCCGCCUACAUGGUCUUCAAGAUGGCAGAUUAUUACUAUGGGCUGAAUUUUCCUGCUCAGGAGGCAUCGGUCAGUUCCGGAGCAACCAACUUGACCCGCGAGGUUUGCCUACAAGCUGGCGAGGCGGACGAGAACAUGCAUUACGAUGAGGGCGACGACGAUGAGUACGAGGAGGAGGAGGAGGACGUUGACGAGUACUAUCGGUCGCUGACGAACCGGCGCGUAGUUUACGAAGAGAAUGUCGCGCUCCCUCAGAGAAGAGCCGACGGGUGGAUGGAGCUGGAGCUGGGUGAGUUCCUCAACGAGGGGGGCGAUGACGGCGAGGUGUCCAUCAGCCUGACGGAGACCAAAAGCGGGAAGUGGAAGAGCGGCCUCAUCGUGCAGGGCAUCGAGAUCAGAUGUAAGAAGUCGGGCUGA